rnacentral:rRNA from 1 species
UACAUAGGGUGCAAGCGUUAAUCGGAAUUACUGGGCGUAAAGCGUGCGCAGGCGGUUUUGUAAGUCUGACGUGAAAUCCCCGGGCUCAACCUGGGAAUUGCAUUGGAGACUGCAAGGCUAGAAUCUGGCAGAGGGGGGUAGAAUUCCACGUGUAGCAGUGAAAUGCGUAGAGAUGUGGAGGAACACCGAUGGCGAAGGCAGCCCCCUGGGUCAAGAUUGACGCUCAUGCACGAAAGCGUGGGGAGCAAACAGG